CCUACGGGAGGCAGCAGUGGGGAAUAUUGGGCAAUGGGCGCAAGCCUGACCCAGCAACGCCGCGUGAAGGAAGAAGGCUUUCGGGUUUUAAACUUCUUUUGUCAGGGACGAAGCAAGUGACGGUACCUGACGAAUAAGCCACCGUUAACUACGUGCCAGCACCCGCUGUAAUACGUAGGUGGCAAGCUUUAUCCGGAUUUAUUGGGUGUAAAGGUCUUGUAGGGGGGAAUGGAAGUCAGAUGUGAAAACUAUGGGCUCAACCCAUAGCCUGCAUUUGAAACUGUAUUUCUUGAGUGCUGGAGAGGUAAUCGGAAUUCGGGGUGUAGCGGUGAAAUGCGUAGAUAUACGGAAGAACACCAGUGGCGAAGGCAGAUUGCUGGACAGUAACUGACGCUGAGGCGCGAAAGCGUGGGGAGCAAACAGGAUUAGAUACCCUAGUAGUC
rnacentral:rRNA from 1 species